rnacentral:rRNA from 1 species
UACUAGAGUAGCACUCGCAUAUCAAUAAGCGGAGGAAAAGAAACUAACAAGGAUUCCCCUAGUAACGGCGAGUGAAGCGGGAAGAGCUCAAAUUUGAAAUCUUAAAGGGUUUCCCUUUACGAAUUGUAGUUUAAAGAAGUGUUUUCUGUUGAGGUUUUGGUAAAAGUUCUUUGGAAUAGGACAUCAUAGAGGGUGAGAAUCCCGUAUUUGACCUUUACUUUCAACUUUGUGAUACACUUUCAAAGAGUCGGAUUGUUUGGGAAUGCAGUCCAAAAUGGGUGGUAAAUUUCAUCUAAAGCUAAAUAUUGGCGAGAGACCGAUAGCGAACAAGUACCGUGAGGGAAAGAUGAAAAGAACUUUGAAAAGAGAGUUAAACAGUACGUGAAAUUGUCAAAAGGGAAGCGUUUGACACCAGUGUUGUUUUUCUGAAAAUCAAUUAAAGAACUGUUUAUGCUAAGCUGUUUAGACUUUAUCAGCUAAUCUGUUUAGUUUUGAGCUUUUCUUUAAUGCACUUUUCAGUUAACAAGUCAACAUCAAUUCCUUUUGCUGUAAAAAAGCUUGAGGAAGGUGGCUUGAGAUUCGUCUUAAGUGUUUAUAGCCUCUUGCCUAUGCAGUCGGAGAGAUUGAGGUCUGCAGCGUAGAUCCUUCGGGGCUAAAUGCAUUUGUGCUAAGUUAUAGCAUUUUAUAGACAACUUGUUGACUAUGAUUUGUCUUGUAGCUUACUCGCUUAUGUUAUUUUACCUACGCUUAGGAUGUUGAACUACUGAGACAUAGA